GACAGGCGAGGAAUCCGCAAGGAGGAAUCGUGCUGAGUGGCGAACGGGUGAGUAAGACAUGGGGACGUACCCUCAAGAGGGGGAUAGCAUUCCGAAAGGGAUGGUAAUACCCCGUAAGCUCGAGAGAGGGAAGGUGCAACAGCACCGCUUGAGGAGCGACUCRUGGCCCAUCAGUUAGUUGGUGAGGUAAAGGCCCACCAAGGCUAUGACGGGUAGCUGGUCUGAGAGGAUGGUCAGCCACACUGGGACUGAGACACGGCCCAGACUCCUACGGGAGGCAGCAGUGGGGAAUUUUUCCCAAUGGGCGAAAGCCUGAGGGAGCGACGCCGCGUGGAGGAAGGAGUCUUUCGAGAUGUAAACUCCUGUUGUAAGGGAGCAAGGGUAUAUGUAGUGGAAAGGCAUAUACUUGGAUAGUACCUUACGAGGAAGCCCCGGCUAACUACGUGCCAGCAGCCGCGGUAAUACGUAGGGGGCGAGCGUUGUCCGGAGUUACUGGGCGUAAAGGGUGCGUAGGUGGCCGAUAAAGUCAAUUGUGAAAUUCCACGGCUCARCUGUGGGAGUGCGGUUGAAACUAAUCGGCUUGAGGUCAGGUCAGGAAGAUGGAAUUGUCAGUGUAGGGGUGAAAUCCGUAGAUAUUGGCAGAGAACGCCGGUGGUGAAGACGGUCUUCUGGGCUGAUACUGACACUGAGGCACGAAAGCUAGGGGAGCGAACGGGAUUAGAUACCCCGGUAGUCCUAGCCGUAAACGAUGUUCACUGAGUAUGGGAGGCGUUAGCCAUCCGUGCUGAAGCAAACGCGUUAAGUGAACCG
rnacentral:rRNA from 1 species